UACGAGGGGGCGAGCGUUGUUCGGAAUUACUGGGCGUAAAGCGUGCGCAGGCGGUUCGUUGUGUCGGCGGUGAAAGCCCCGGGCUUAACCUGGGAAUGGCCGUUGAAACUGGCGAACUGGAGUGUGGCAGAGGGGGGUGGAAUUCCGGCGUGUAGCAGUGAAAUGCGUAGAUAUGCGGAGGAACACCGAUGGCGAAGGCAAUCCCCUGGGCCUGCACUGACGCUCAUGCACGAAAGCGUGGGGAGCAAACAGG
rnacentral:rRNA from 1 species